GCGGCAUCCUCUGCUCGUCGCCCCGCCGAGGUGCCACCGGCUACGUCGACGUCCGUAGCAGUCAUCCGCGCGUUAUCCAGACUGCGGGUGGCCGUAAGGGGGAGAGAACAAGAGGGUUGACGCCCUUACACGCGGCCCUUGUCCUUACGAUUGUACUUCGUCGUCGGUGGGUGACGCAACACACUCUCUCUUUCCAUUUCUCUCUUUUACCGAUUCUCUUUCUCUCUCUCACAGAACUGAACACCACCGCUGUAUCAAAUCCGCUGGUGGUGCAUAGACUGUUCGACCUCCUCACCGUUCCCUUUCAUUUUGGUCCUGCUCAGCUCCCAGGAUUCCUCAAGAACUGAUUCUCGGUUGGCCCCGGAGCAAAGGGAUAAUUAAAAACGAACUUUCUUCAAGGCUUGAAGCAUCACCAGAAAGAGGCAAUUGAAUAAGAUACUUGGUGAAAUCAGAAAUUGUCGGUCUUUUAGACAUGGACGUCGAUCAUUAUGCUAUUCUUGGGCUACCUUCGGGUGAGCAAGGUGCCAAGC
rnacentral:misc_RNA from 1 species